CUUGCUCCUCUGAUUUAGCGGCGGACGGGUGAGUAACACGUGGGUAAUCUGCCUGUAAGACGGGGAUAACUCCGGGAAACCGGGGCUAAUACCGGAUAAUAAGAAGAAACGCAUGUUUCUUUUUUGAAAGUCGGUUUCGGCUGACACUUACAGAUGAGCCCGCGGCGCAUUAGCUAGUUGGUGAGGUAACGGCUCACCAAGGCGACGAUGCGUAGCCGACCUGAGAGGGUGAUCGGCCACACUGGGACUGAGACACGGCCCAGACUCCUACGGGAGGCAGCAGUAGGGAAUCUUCGGCAAUGGGCGAAAGCCUGACCGAGCAACGCCGCGUGAGCGAUGAAGGCCUUCGGGUCGUAAAGCUCUGUUGUUAGAGAAGAACAAGUACGAGAGUAACUGCUCGUACCUUGACGGUACCUAACCAGAAAGCCACGGCUAACUACGUGCCAGCAGCCGCGGUAAUACGUAGGUGGCAAGCGUUAUCCGGAAUUAUUGGGCGUAAAGCGCGCGCAGGCGGUCUCUUAAGUCUGAUGUGAAAGCCCACGGCUCAACCGUGGAGGGUCAUUGGAAACUGGGAGACUUGAGUGCAGGAGAGAAAAGUGGAAUUCCACGUGUAGCGGUGAAAUGCGUAGAGAUGUGGAGGAACACCAGUGGCGAAGGCGGCUUUUUGGCCUGUAACUGACGCUGAGGCGCG
rnacentral:rRNA from 1 species